AUCCAUUUGAAAAGUCUCAAAUAGAACGAAAUGCGCGUCCUAGAU
rnacentral:hammerhead_ribozyme from 1 species